GACGAACGCUGGCGGCGUGCUUAACACAUGCAAGUCGAACGGAAAGGCCCUGCUUUUGUGGGGUGCUCGAGUGGCGAACGGGUGAGUAACACGUGAGUAACCUGCCCUUGACUUUGGGAUAACUUCAGGAAACUGGGGCUAAUACCGGAUAGGAGCUCCUGCUGCAUGGUGGGGGUUGGAAAGUUUCGGCGGUUGGGGAUGGACUCGCGGCUUAUCAGCUUGUUGGUGGGGUAGUGGCUUACCAAGGCUUUGACGGGUAGCCGGCCUGAGAGGGUGACCGGCCACAUUGGGACUGAGAUACGGCCCAGACUCCUACGGGAGGCAGCAGUGGGGAAUAUUGCACAAUGGGCGGAAGCCUGAUGCAGCAACGCCGCGUGCGGGAUGACGGCCUUCGGGUUGUAAACCGCUUUCGCCUGUGACGAAGCGUGAGUGACGGUAAUGGGAAAAGAAGCACCGGCUAACUACGUG
rnacentral:rRNA from 1 species